UUCUGGACUGACACUGACACUGAGGUGCGAAAGCGUGGGUAGCAAACAGGAUUAGAUACCCUGGUAGUCCACGCCGUAAACGAUGUCGACCAGCCGUUGGGUGCCUAGCGCACUUUGUGGCGAAGUUAACGCGAUAAGUCGACCGCCUGGGGAGUACGGCCGCAAGGUUAAAACUCAAAUGAAUUGACGGGGGCCCGCACAAGCGGUGGAGCAUGUGGUUUAAUUCGAUGCAACGCGAAGAACCUUACCUACUCUUGACAUCCUGCGAACUUGUGAGAGAUCACUUGGUGCCUUCGGGAGCGCAGAGACAGGUGCUGCAUGGCUGUCGUCAGCUCGUGUUGUGAAAUGUUGGGUUAAGUCCCGUAACGAGCGCAACCCUUGUCCUUAUUUGCCAGCGGGUAAUGCCGGGAACUCUAAGGAGACUGCCGGUGACAAACCGGAGGAAGGUGGGGACGACGUCAAGUCAUCAUGGCCCUUACGAGUAGGGCUACACACGUGCUACAAUGGCCGGUACAAAGGGUUGCGAGCUCGCGAGAGUCAGCUAAUCCCGAAAAGCCGGUCUCAGUCCGGAUCGGAGUCUGCAACUCGACUCCGUGAAGUCGGAAUCGCUAGUAAUCGUGAAUCAGAAUGUCACGGUGAAUACGUUCCCGGGCCUUGUACACACCGCCCGU
rnacentral:rRNA from 1 species